rnacentral:lncRNA from 1 species
AUUUUGCAUUUGGAAGUUACUAUGACAGGAAUAGUGCAGCAUGUGGGGAGUCAGUCUCUAGGCAGCAAGUUGGGUUCAGCCACUGUGGAUUUCUCUGGUCUUAGGGAGGACAGCUGGAUUUCCCAUUACUAGUGAUUUGAGAGCAGCCAGGGAUGAGCCUAGGCCUUGUGAGAACUCUGUUCUCUCCCUGGAAUGGAUGAAGGCAUCAUAGGGAACAUCAGAAGAGGAUGACCAUGGCCAGAGUUGGUUCAGGAAGUAGGCUUCCCGAUUAUUCUACAAACGCUAUGAAAUCCUUGUUCUUCGUUGCACAAUUAGCUGUGAAACAGACAGAGGUUACCUACAAUAAGGUCACCAGUUUGAACAGACCCUUCUUGCUCUGUCCCAAGGACAAAGAAGAUGGCUGGUGCGUUCCCCUCUGUGAAGAAUUUGCUGGCAUUUGAAAGAAAUGGUCAGUAGAAGAUUCACUGGAUGGUGAAAUUCUUUGUGCCUGGGAUGUGUUCAGUCUGUUAUUCUGCUGCACCAGGAAAGAAGGUCCAGGGUCUUAUUUCAUUCUGGAGCUUUUUGAAACUUUUUACUCUGUACUUUAAUUUUGGCAACCUUGGACUGAUGGGGUUUGUAGAUAUUAAUCAUCAAAUUGUUAUGUAUUAGCUGAUAUUCUUUCAAUUCAAUAAUUAUUUUAAAUCCCUUGUGGUGUCCAUUGAUUAUGUUGCCAGGAAACUGAACUAAUAUUUUCAGUCUUCCUCUUUUUUCUCCACAAAAUAGAAACAAGACAACUAUACAUAGCUGAUAGUUAUUUUCUCUCGGAAAUUCAUAUAUAUUAUUUUUAAGAGUUUCUGUAAAUAUUUGAACUGAAUG